UGGUUUCUUUUGUUUUAUUUUUUGUUCCGGAUAUCUCGGGAGGACUACCGCCUGAUUUAUCCUCUAACUUAUUUACUUCUUGCACAUAUAUUGUAGAUACAACAUGACUCUAACCAUGCAUAAUAAAAUCAACUACAUGCAUUUCAUCUUUUGUGAAAACUGUUUGCGAGUACUUCUCGGAGUACUCACUGGCUUGUUGUUGUGGCCAGAUAUGGAUGAAGGAGACAUCAUGGAUGAAGAGUUCGAUAGCGAGUCCGAGGUCUAGAGGAGUCCCGGUGAG
rnacentral:lncRNA from 1 species